CCUACGGGUGGCAGCAGUGAGGAAUAUUGGUCAAUGGACGAGAGUCUGAACCAGCCAAGUAGCGUGAAGGAUGACUGCCCUAUGGGUUGUAAACUUCUUUUAUAUGGGAAUAAAACGUUCCACGUGUGGGAUUUUGUAUGUACCAUAUGAAUAAGGAUCGGCUAACUCCGUGCCAGCAGCCGCGGUAAUACGGAGGAUCCGAGCGUUACCCGGAUUUAUUGGGUUUAAAGGGAGCGUAGGUGGAUUGUUAAGUCAGUUGUGAAAGUCUGCGGCUCAACCGUAAAAUUGCAUUUGAAACUGGCAGUCUUGAGUGCAGUAGAGGAUGGCGGAAUUCGUGGUGUAGCGGUGAAAUGCUUAGAUAUCACGAAGAACUCCGGUUGCGAAGGCAGUUCACUGGACUGCAACUGACACUGAGGCUCGAAAGUGUGGGUAUCAAACAGGAUUAGAUACCCGAGUAGUC
rnacentral:rRNA from 1 species